AUCACUCCAGAGUCUUGACUGCUAAGCCUAAUAUUUUCUUCAGAGUUUUCUGGAAUCAUGAAGUUGUUCUAUGCUGUCGUCCUGCUGGCCGUUUGUAGUAUCGCUCGAAGUGGACAUUCAUACCGCUACAACACCGGAACAUCUUCCGUAAAUGUGAACCAAGAAUACGGCCUACCCUACACCGGCCAUUACGGAUUUCACAACUACGCCAAACCUGUUUACUACACUGGCUACCGUACCCUUCCCUACAACCUUCGCUACAACAAUGGGCUGGGAUAUACAGGUGUGGGCUACAACUACGUCCCACGUUACUAUGGCGGUUUAGGCUACAACCAAGGGCUGAAUCAUUACGGUUACGCUCGAAAACCAGCAUACUAUUCAUCUUACAAUUACUUGUAUUAAAACAGGGGGCCAGAAGAAGCUGCCUAUCAACUGAAAGCAUCAGAUAACCCUCAUUCACAUUAAUAUGGUGUUAAAGUGGAUAUUCUUCUUUAUAGAAUAUGUAUUUCUUGAGAUGUUAAUAAAAA